rnacentral:rRNA from 1 species
AUGCAAGUCGAGCGGACAGAAGAGGAGCUUGCUCCUUGGAAGUCAGCGGCGGACGGGUGAGUAACACGUGGGCAACCUGCCUGUAAGACUGGGAUAACUCCGGGAAACCGGGGCUAAUACCGGAUAAUUUCUUCUUCCGCAUGGAAGAAGGAUAAAAGACGGCUCUGCUGUCACUUACAGAUGGGCCCGCGGCGCAUUAGCUAGUUGGUGGGGUAACGGCCUACCAAGGCAACGAUGCGUAGCCGACCUGAGAGGGUGAUCGGCCACACUGGGACUGAGACACGGCCCAGACUCCUACGGGAGGCAGCAGUAGGGAAUCUUCCGCAAUGGACGAAAGUCUGACGGAGCAACGCCGCGUGAGUGAAGAAGGUCUUCGGAUCGUAAAGCUCUGUUGUUAGGGAAGAACAAGUACCGGAGGGAAUGCCGGUACCUUGACGGUACCUGACGAGAAAGCCACGGCUAACUACGUGCCAGCAGCCGCGGUAAUACGUAGGUGGCAAGCGUUGUCCGGAUUUAUUGGGCGUAAAGCGCGCGCAGGCGGUCCUUUAAGUCUGAUGUGAAAGCCCACGGCUCAACCGUGGAGGGUCAUUGGAAACUGGGAGGCUUGAGUGCAGAAGAGGAGAGCGGAAUUCCACGUGUAGCGGUGAAAUGCGUAGAGAUGUGGAGGAACACCAGUGGCGAAGGCGGCUCUCUGGUCUGUAACUGACGCUGAGGCGCGAAAGCGUGGGUAGCGAACAGGAUUAGAUACCCUGGUAGUCCACGCCGUAAACGAUGAGUGCU